CCUCUGGUAGCUCAGUUGGUAGAGCGGUGGACUGUAGAUCCAUAGGUCGCUGGUUCAAAUCCGGCCCAGAGGA
rnacentral:tRNA from 3 species